UGACGUGACCCAGCCAUAGUCAUUUCAGAAUAGCCACAGCCGUUUCAGAAUAGCUUUACAAAUGACACAGAUCUCACCAAACGAAAGAAGUUGUACACAGUGUGCAACUUUCAACACGCAACGCGAAGCGCCAGCCGAACGAAGAGAGAACAAGCUGUUUCAGAACGCUUCGCGAAUGAAGUUUCCAGCCCGCCGGCCGCUAGUGGCAACGCAGGAAAGAACGACGCCCGGCAGAGAAAGAAAAAGAAAAGGGCCGGCGGCGGGAAAGCUGGCCAGGCAGCCAGCUGAGUGAGUCGGCCGCGGGAGGUUGUUCGGGCGGAGGGAGAGGCCCAGGGAGCCCGUCCCAGCGCAGCGGCAAGCAAGGCAGGCAAGCAAGCAGCAGAGGAGGCUCGCCGGCCCCUGCGCACGGCGACGCCGCCGCCAACCUUCGCAGCGAGCGGCAGCAGCAGGCCAGCCAGCCUUCAGCCCUCGGCGCCUCAUCCCUCGCCCACACCACUGGCGGCAGCAGAACAACGACAUGGCCGCGUAAAAAAGCCUGCUGCCUCGCACGCGUCCUCAGCUGAAUAUCUCCCUCUCCUCGCCGCCGCCAGGGGCCGCCGCGCGCGUCCCACGCACGCGGUGCGCGGGUUGGCCGCGAUAACCCCACGUGACCAUAGCGCGCGAAGCACGAUGGGAUCGUCGCGCGCCCCGUCGUCUGCAACACUCACGUCGGGCGCCGCUUCAGUGGGCGAUCAGCCGCUGUUGGUGCCGGUGUGUUAAACUGGGACUGCGUGUCUCCUGAGCACCGCCGUGCGUGCUCCUCUCAGCGUGUCGUCUGCUGCUGCUGCCAGCGUUAAGCACAUCGUCGUUCGUCGCAGCCGAUCCCGGCCUCGACUGUCGUGACUGACAUCCUCGUGUGUUUCGACGCCCGCGAGGGACUGUGCCACGACGUGUCGACGCGACGACGAAGCCGACGACCAGCACGGUUGGAACCGUGAGGCCGUCAUUCCGUGUUCGACGCCAGACGCCUAUGGCAUGGGGGUAGAGGUCAGCCCACUGCAUGCCCUCAGAUUUAAGCACGGUCCUCGUUGAAAACCGCCAAGAUCCGCCGCGGGCUCUUGCCUACCCCGGGAUGUGUGCCGUUGGCGCAGAAUCGCUUUACGACAGUAGCCGUCGGGAGCCCGUGAACCGUUAUCCUGACUGUGUCCUGCUGUCGUGCUUCGAGGGUGUGUGGUUCUCGACCGGUUGCGUUUCUCGGACGCGUUCUGUUGUGGCGUUCUCGUGUCCCCCGUCAGCAGUGCUGAAAACUUGUUUCGCGCAAAAUAAAGGCACGCCUAAGGUA
rnacentral:misc_RNA from 1 species